rnacentral:rRNA from 1 species
GAUGAACGCUGGCGGCGUGCCUAAUACAUGCAAGUCGAGCGAAUGGAUUAAGAGCUCGCUCUUAUGAAGUUAGCGGCGGACGGGUGAGUAACACGUGGGUAACCUGCCCAUAAGACUGGGAUAACUCCGGGAAACCGGGGCUAAUACCGGAUAAUAUUUUGAACUGCAUGGUUCAAAAUUGAAAGGCGGCUUCGGCUGACACUUAUGGAUGUAGCUGGGUCGCAUUAGCUAGUUGGUGAGGUAACGGCUCACCAAGGCAACGAUGCGGUGCCGACCUGAGAGGGUGAUCGGCCACACUGGGACUGAGACACGGCCCAGACUCCUACGGGAGGCAACAGUAGGGAAUCUUCCGCAAUGGACGAAAGUCUGACGGAGCAACGCCGCGUGAGUGAUGAAGGCUUUCGGGUCGUAAAACUCUGUUGUUAGGGAAGAACAAGUGCUAGUUGAAUAAGCUGGCACCUUGACGGUACCUAACCAGAAAGCCACGGCUAACUACGUGCCAGCAGCCGCCGUAA